rnacentral:rRNA from 1 species
AUUGAACGCUGGCGGCAGGCCUAACACAUGCAAGUCGAGCGGAUGAAGGGAGCUUGCUCCUGGAUUCAGCGGCGGACGGGUGAGUAAUGCCUAGGAAUCUGCCUGGUAGUGGGGGAUAACGUCCGGAAACGGGCGCUAAUACCGCAUACGUCCUGAGGGAGAAAGUGGGGGAUCUUCGGACCUCACGCUAUCAGAUGAGCCUAGGUCGGAUUAGCUAGUUGGUGGGGUAAAGGCCUACCAAGGCGACGAUCCGUAACUGGUCUGAGAGGAUGAUCAGUCACAAUGGAACUGAGAAACGGUCCAGGCUUCCAAGGGAGGCCGCAGUGGGGAAUAUUGGACCAAGGGCGAAAGCCUGAUCCAGCCAUGCCGCGGGUGUGAAGAAGGUCUUCGGAUUGUAAAGCACUUUAAGUUGGGAGGAAGGGCAGUAAGUUAAUACCUUGCUGUUUUGACGUUACCAACAGAAUAAGCACCGGCUAACUUCGUG